UACGAAGGGGGCUAGCGUUGUUCGGAAUUACUGGGCGUAAAGCGCGCGCAGGCGGCUAUCCAAGUCAGUGGUGAAAGCCCGGAGCUCAACUCCGGAACUGCCAUUGAAACUGUUUAGCUUGAGGACGAGAGAGGUGAGUGGAAUUCCCAGUGUAGAGGUGAAAUUCGUAGAUAUUCGCAGGAACACCAGUGGCGAAGGCGGCUCACUGGUCCGAUACUGACGCUGAGGUGCGAAAGCGUGGGGAGCAAACAGG
rnacentral:rRNA from 1 species